UACGUAGGGUGCAAGCGUUGUCCGGAAUUAUUGGGCGUAAAGAGCUCGUAGGCGGUUUGUCGCGUCUGCUGUGAAAACUCAGGGCUUAACCCUGAGCCUGCAGUGGGUACGGGCAGACUAGAGUGUGGUAGGGGAGAUCGGAAUUCCUGGUGUAGCGGUGGAAUGCGCAGAUAUCAGGAGGAACACCGGUGGCGAAGGCGGAUCUCUGGGCCAUAACUGACGCUGAGGAGCGAAAGCGUGGGGAUCAAACAGG
rnacentral:rRNA from 1 species